GUCGUGACGAAACAGUUUGGUGGGUGAGCGCCGGUUUUUUAUUCUCUUCAACAAGAGCGCGACCUGUCACAACUGGUUUACUUGUUGGGGUAGUGUGUGGCGGUGGUCGCGAAGGUGUCAUUCGCGUAUCGGCAUGCCUAGAGUGGUUUUGUGUAUCACGGACUCAAGUGCGUUAUUUUGUUGGUUUUGUUUUCUUUGACGGUUUUAUGUGUUCAAUUCACUCUGUUGAUUGCAUCGGGCUCAACUGCUUUACUUGACACAUUCACCAUCUUCAUUUGGGUACAGAAAGCAAGGUGCCUGUACAAAUAUAAUCUAUAUUUAAGAACGGCCAUUUAACCUCACUUAUAUAAUUAUGUCGCAUUGAUGGCCAGACAUAGAUACAUGAGACAAUAAAGUUGUAUUCAUAUUUGAAGCGAAAGGGUGCAAUUUAUAAAACAAGGCUCCUUUCUUGAAAAAUAUCAAGUGAGCUUAAAAGAAGUUUAAAAACGCCAUGCAAAAACUACGAAGUACUCAAAAAGUAUAAAUCAAAAAGUCUCAACGUAAUGAAUUCCUGCUAAGUUUAACAAUGACAAAGCUUCCUUUUUUAGCUUCAAUACAAAGCUGAGAAGUCAACGCAACGAAUGGACAAGAUGAAUGCGACAAAGAGAAUGCAAUUAAAUUUUUAAAUUCAUUUCUAAAAUCGAGCAACUGGGAGCUUACUAAGAACUUCGUGCAUGACUAUACAAAAAAUGAUAAGGAUGAUUUGAUAGCAUGGGAACUAUUAAUUGAUGAAAGUGAUAAUUUAAACAUCGUCGAUAUAAAUAAUGUUUAUAAAAAAAUAUAUGAUACAAUAUUGCUUAUUAAUAACGAGUACGCCAUAAAUUUUGCAUGGAUCGUUGAUCACAUAAAACAAAUGAUUUUUGAAUGUAGACAUAUCAAAUAUUUUACAAAUAAAGAUUCAUCUCAUUGUGUGGAGAUAUUGAUAUCAAGUGUUAAGAAAGCCGAACAAAUUAUAAAUAAAUUUAUCAAUGCAAUAAAUACCCUAAGAAUUUGUUAAAUAUCAACCAAUCCAAUCCGUUUAUUUUAGAAGAAUUAAUAAAAUUUGUUAGAUUGGUAGAGAAAGUAAAAAAUGUAAAUAAAGAUGUAUAUUUAAAAUCGAUUUAUAAUGAAGCCUCCUCUAUCUACUUUAUUAAAAAUUGUGAACUGAAUAAGAUAAUCAAAAAUUAUAAACUUAUUGACUAUAUUGUGUUGGAUAACAGUAGAUUUAUUUAUAAUUAUUAUUUAAGAAAUAAAAAUAAAACUGAAGAAACGUUUUCAUAUUCCGAAUUUUUAGAAGAACUCUUAAGAAAAGGUAUUCAGGAUAUGGAUAAAAAAUUGUAUACAAUAAAGGUUUUCUUUUUAAACACAAAAUACGAUUUCUAAUAUUCACUGUAAUAGUUAAAAAAGAAAAAAAAAACUUAAUUUUGUUUUAACUGUGUUUAAUUGUUAAAUAACUUUGUCUCUAUUAUACAUAAAUAAAUGAAACAAAUCCAUCAA